UGCAACAACUCUUUUAGCUAUUGCAAUGGAGGCUAGUUUAUUAAUUAAAAAAUUGCGAGAAAACCCUAUCUUAGGCAAGCACCAAAAUUGAAGCCUCCCUUUCGGCCUUUCCCACUCACAUAACCCCAUUGCUCCCACUCGCCACUCCCGUUGUGAAGCUCCAGCACCUCGCCGCUCGCUGCUAACUCGAUAUGAUUAAAUCGUUUUGUUUGAAGUUAAGUUGACGAACGUCGAUUGCGGCUAACCCUAUAAAUUUUCAAUGAAUAAAAUUGAAUCUCAACCUUCGAAUAUUACGAGGGUGAAUUAAGUGUUAUCCCAGACUAGGAACAAAACAAAGCUAAAAACUCAAGUGCCCUAACCAGAAAAUCAAGUCAAUCAAUUCAGACCUUCAGAACUUGCAAGGCAAUAUUAUCAAUGUUUGGAGAGAUGUACAACAUUCAGCCAAUAUUGAUACAGAGUGUCUCUACAGAUUUCUACAUAUCUAACGAAAACUCAGGUAUCCGAAAUUUGGUACAAGCUGGAUGUGGAUGUAGUCAUUUAGACUCAUGCCCCUUAUCGUUGAGAGCAAUCUUGUGUACACAAGUAAACACAGAAUUCUAUCCCCCGACUUGACAAAAAGGCUGGCAGACAGAAACCUCGCAACCAACUCUCGGGUGAUACGCCUUGAAAAAGGGUGAUUGUGCUACUGUCAAGGCAAUUAGGCGUGCUGCAUAGAGGUGGUGAUUAUAUUGGCAUUACAUUUCUGCUGUACAUUUGAAUCCCAAGAAUUUUGAAUCCAAUUUGCGAGCUCAGAGUUCACAUUGCCAUUUUCUCUUACGGGAGAUUGAUCGGUAACUAUGGAUGAAUUUAUGGUUUGCAAAUCUAUAACUGCACCAUCUACUACUAUGCCUGGGAUGGUUUUGAGAAAAGAAGAAGAGGAUUUUAUGUUAAAUAUCAACUACUUUGAGAGAUUAAGAUUUAACAUCAUUUUCAGAAUUGGAAUACGUUGGUAAUGUUGGAGCGUUGGUCAUUGCGUUUUAAUGAGAUUGGAGAACAAGACUCCUCAAGGUACAUGAUGAACUACAUGGUGUAGCCGUGUAGAGGAGGAAGAAUGUUAUGAUUAUUGAAAUGCCAUUUUUAGUGGAGGAUCAGACUCAAAAGUUGGUGUUUAAAUUAUGUAGUGAUCUUUAUUUUAUAGGUUGAAUAUUUAGGUGAUUACUUAGGUUCUAUAUAUCAUAGGUUAGGCUUAUUUUGGCGAAGCUUUGUUUGCAAGAUCGUACAACAAUGUAAAUUAACUAUAGAUAUUUUAUAUAAUGAGAAUAUUUUUUUUAUUUUUA